AUGUUUUUGAAUAUCAGAACUUUCAUCCCAGUAAGAUGCUCCCUUGAAAGAAAGCCUCCUUUACUUGAACAAAACGUAAUACAGAAUAAUACAGAUAAAUGUAAGAAAACAGUCCAAACUCAGUAUUAUCAAGCAGGAAAUUUGUGUAUCCAGGAGUAUUAUUUAGGUGAGUACUUUGACUUAGUACUCUAAAUGUUUUUCCAUUAUAUUAAGAGAAAAAAGGUGAGGGUUCAAGGUGACAUACACCAUAUAUUCUACAGCAUGUGCCCAUAUAAUUCCAGUUUAGGAUCAUCGUUACCAUGCAUUUGUGGUGAUUAGGGAUAUAUUCUGUCAUAGUAUUUCUCAUUACUAUUUUGAGUAAAAUGUGACCAAUUUGCAAGAAACACUCAAUAGUUAUUCAUGUUAUGAAUCCCAAUCAACCAAAGAAUGAAAGUUUGACUACAACAUUACUAUAGAAUGGGACUAGAAAUUUCCGGGAAUUACCAUGAAGACAGUAAUUGAUAUGCGUGUUAACUCUUGCGUUUUGUUCUGCAAGGACAAAAUGCCUACAACAGAAGAGCUAAAAUCAACUUUCCACUCUUGAAUGGAAAGUUGAGUCCUAAGAACUAUUCAUAUAGUCUAUAGUUCUUGGACCUUAGAUCCCAGAAGACACAGAACCUGUAUAUUCUUAUUUCAGAGAUCUAUUAACCAUCUUAAAUUGAAAUUUGAGAUGCUAUUAUAUAAAUUUUAUAAUUAUUUGUUAAUAACAGCUAUAUGUAAGUAUUGCAUUGACUAUACUUGGAUCAUUACAAUAUUGUAGUCAACUCUGCAGUUUAAAAUUGGGAUUAUUAUAAUAUUGUGGUAAAUUAUGCAGUUUAAAAUCAAUUCCCUCUUUCUCAAUCCCUUUAUUCCUCCCUAGUUGAGCCACAGUGAAAUAUCUAAGAUUUUUAUGUAAAAGCUUCUAAUCAGUACUACUGCCUGUUGUUUUUCUUCCUUAUAGGAGCAAUUUUUUCUCUGGUUGGACUAUGUAAUUUUUAUUCCUCGAACUAAGCAAAGGAAUUGAGCUUUGAAUUCUGGUGGUUAAAACAACCUUUGUAACCUUGGUCCUCUGAUUACCUGAGGAUUUUGCACUACCUUUCAGAAGUUGCACUAAUGCCGAUGGAUGCUAUCUUUUGCUGUUUUAAUAAUGUUGUUUUAAAAAUGAAUUUGUUCUAUUUCAUGUGUUUAUGAACUCUUUGGAUGGGGUUAAAAGGAACUUCCCCAGACUUUUACAUUUGUAGUGAAGGCUACCUUUAAAAAUAAAGUUUUGAAUAUUUGAAUAGUUAUUUCUCUUUUGUGAAGAAAGCUGAAAUCCUGACUUACAGGGUAUUUUUCCAGGCACCUAUGUUUUGUGAAGGGUAAAGGUGUACUCAUUAGCCAACAAUCUGGAUGGAGAUUCAGUAACUAUUACACUGUGGUAUAUAGUUUUUUGAUUAAUUGCCAUUUCACUUCUUUCUAAUGAUACGUAUAAACAUAGCUGAAAUCAGAUUCUCUCUGUAAGGUUGAAAAAAGUAGCCUAUUCUAUUUCCUACUUCUGGCUUUUCUGUAGUUUUCUUUUGCUUCUUUUUGUAUCAGUUUUACUUCUUUUCUAUAUAGUAGUUAUUUCAAGUGAGUUUGAAAAUUUGGGUUCAUUCGCUUUGUGCAUAUGAAGGAGCUAUUUUUUGGGGAAAAUAAUAUUCUAAUUGAUGUCACAAUUUAUGACAACUUUGAACCAAAAAUGAAUCUUGUCUAACUUCUUGUUCAUAUAUCU
rnacentral:lncRNA from 1 species